GACGAACGCUGGCGGCGUGCUUAACACAUGCAAGUCGAGCGGUAAGGCCCUUUCGGGGGUACGACGAGCGGCGAACGGGUGAGUAACACGUGGGUGACCUCGCCCUCCAGCUCUGGGAUAAGCCUGGGAAACCGGGUCUAAUACUGGAUAUGACUCCAUGACGCAUGUUGUGGGGUGGAAAGCCUUGUGCGGCUGAGGAUGGGCCCGCGGCCUAUCAGCUUGUUGGUGGGGG
rnacentral:rRNA from 1 species